GAACUUAAGCAUAUCAAUAAGCGGAGGAAAAGAAACCAACAGGGAUUGCCUCAGUAACGGCGAGUGAAGCGGCAACAGCUCAAAUUUGAAAUCUGCCUCUAGGCCGAGUUGUAAUUUGUAGAAGAUGCUUCGGGUGUGGCACUGGUCUAAGUUCCUUGGAACAGGACGUCAUAGAGGGUGAGAAUCCCGUACGUGACUGGCUGCCUUCGCCCAUGUGAAGCUCUUUCGACGAGUCGAGUUGUUUGGGAAUGCAGCUCAAAAUGGGUGGUAUAUUUCAUCUAAAGCUAAAUAUUGGCCAGAGACCGAUAGCGCACAAGUAGAGUGAUCGAAAGAUGAAAAGCACUUUGGAAAGAGAGUUAAACAGUACGUGAAAUUGUUGAAAGGGAAGCGCUUGCAACCAGACUUGCGCGCCGUCGAUCAUCCGAGGUUUUCCCCGGUGCACUCGGCGGUGCUCAGGCCAGCAUCGGUUUCGGUGGUUAGAUAAAGGCCUUGGGAAUGUGGCUCCUCCGGGAGUGUUAUAGCCCUCGGUGCAAUGUAGCCUACCGGGACCGAGGACCGCGCUUCGGCUAGGAUGCUGGCGUAAUGGUUGUAAGCGACCCGUCUUGAAACACGGACCAAGGAGUCUAACAUCUAUGCGAGUGUUUGGGUGUCAAACCCAUGCGCGUAAUUAACGUGAACGGAGGUGAGAACCCUUAAGGGUGCAUCAUCGACCGAUCCUGAUGUCUUCGGAUGGAUUUGAGUAAGAGCAUAGCUGUUGGGACCCGAAA
rnacentral:rRNA from 1 species